rnacentral:misc_RNA from 1 species
UCCGGUUUGUCACCGGCAGUCUGGCGUGAGUCCCCAACUUAAUGCUGGCAACACGCCACGGGGGUUGCGCUCGUUGCGGGACUUAACCCAACAUCUCACGACACGAGCUGACGACAGCCAUGCAGCAUCUGUGGUGCACCCUCGAAGGUCACACGUUUCCGUGCGCUUGCAGCACCAUGUCAAGCCCAGGUAAGGUGGGGAUGACGUCUGCGUAACAGAA